GGGACUUCCUGGAGACGGAUGGAGAUCCUCCAGCAGAGCAGGUGCCACCAAGACAACGACGAGGCCAGACCCCAAGCCUGAGUCCACACAUCCGGCAGCCUGCGGAUGAGCGAAGAUGAUGAGGGUCAGAUGCUUCUCAAAAGGGCAACGAUUCCUAUCAUCUGGUGAGAGC